rnacentral:lncRNA from 1 species
UUAUCGUGAAAUUUCAGUUGUUACUUUGUAUUGAUAUUUAAGUUGUUACUUUUCCUUAUUAAAAGACUUAAGUUUAACCCUUGUUGGAGUCGUGCGUUUGGGUUCUAUCCCUGUUAGUCAUAGUAUUGACAGAACGAACUCGCCAGCCAGAACCCAGCCGACUCAGAACAGCUGACAAAAUGAACGAGCGGGAAAUGACCCCAGCAGAGGUCAUUAUAUUUUGUCAGCGGCUGUGGACUGAUAUGUCCUCCCGACCUGCACCCCAGUCUCAUGUGCCACAGCAGCUCCCUGUUGCCUGUCCUGCUGCUCCGUUCCAGAGCCCAUUUCAGGGAACCCGACUGGCCUUUGGGGGCCCUCGUAGCCACCAGCUGGCCAGGCGCCGGCUUGCGGGUCUACAGCGUGCUAGUCGCAGCCCAGCCAUCAGCCUCGGCACCCUGGCAAGCUUAGCCCGGAGCCCAAGCAGCCCAGUGUGUCAAGCCACGAGCCCCAGCAACCAAGUGAGUCAAGCCACGAGCCCCAGCAACCAAGUGAGUCAAGCCACGAGCCCCAGCAACCAAGUGAGUCAAGCCACCAGUCCUAGCAGCCUAGCUACCAGUCCAAGCAGCCAAGCUACCAGCCAUAGCAGCCUAGCUAGCCUAGCUACCAGCCCAAGCAGCCAGGCUACCAGCCCUACCAGUCCAAGCAGCCUAGCUAGCCCAGCUACCAGCCACAGCAGCCCUAGCAGCCUAGCUAGCCCAGCUACCAGCCACAGCAGCCCUAGCAGCCUAGCUAGCCCAGCUACCAGCCAUAGCAGCCCUAGCAGCCUAGCUAGCUUAGCUACCAGUCCAAGCAGCCAGGCUACCAGCCCUACCAGUUCUAGCAGUCUAGCUAGACCAGCUACCAGUCCUAGCAGCCCAAGCAGCCUAGCUAUUCCAGCUACCGGCCCCUGCAGUCUAGCAGGUCCAGCUAUUAGCCUCUGCGACCUAGCAGGCCCAGCUACUAGCCUUAGCAGCCGAGCAGUACCUGUCCCAGUUCCCAGAACCAGACUGGCUGCCCCAGUCCCAGUUCCCAUGGCCAGACAGGCUGUCCCGGUUCAUGUCACAGUACCUCGAACCCGAGUGGCUGCCCCGGUUCCAGUUCCCAGGUCCAGACUGACUGCCCCAGUCCCGGUCACAGUCUCCCGUGCUGGAUCAGCUUCCCCGGCACCAGUCCCAGUUCCCCGAACCGGACCGGCUGUCCCAGUCCAUGUCACAGUCACAGAACCUCAAGCCGCACCAGUUCCAGUUUCCCGAACUGGACCCAUUGCCCCAGUCCAUGUCACAGUUUGCCGAGCCCGACCGGCUGUUCCGGACCUGGCCUUGGUUCCUGCCCCAGUACCCCGAACCGGACUGGCUGCCCCUGUCCCAGAGCCCCGAGCCAGACUGGGUGUUCCAGCCACUGCCCCUGUCCCAGUUCCCCGUACCAGACUGGCUGCCCAGGUUCCUGUCACAGUUCCCCAAGCCAGACCCACUGCCCCAGUCCAUGUCACAGUCACAGUACCUCGAGCCCGACUGGCUGUCCUGGCCCCAGUCCCUGUCCAAGUUCCUGGAGUGGACGUUGCCGCUGCCCGGCGGCCUGGAGUGGACGUUGCCGUUGCCGCUGCCCGGCGGCCUGGAGUGGACGUUGCCGUUGCCGCUGCCCGGCGGUCCCGAGUCCACAUUGCCGUCGCCGCUGCCCGGCGGUCCCGAGUCCACGUCGCCGCUGCCCGGCGGCCCCGAGUCCACGUUUCUGGCACCGCUGCCCGGCGGCCCCGAGUCCACAUUUCUGCCGCCGCUGCCCGGCGGCCCCGAGUCCACGUUUCUGCCGCCGCUGCCCGGCGGCCCCGAGUCCACGUUUCGGCCGCCGCUGCCCGGCGGUCCCGAGUCCACGUCGCCGCUGUCCUGCGGUCCAGAGUCCACGUCGCCGCUGUCUGGCGGUCCAGAGUUCACCCUGCUGCUUCCGCUGCCUGGCGGCCCCAAGCCUGCUCUGCAGGAAGUUAUGGUCGCUCUGCAGUGUGGUCCCACCCACGCUGCAGCCAUCCAGGGUGGGUCCGCCUUGACCGCCAGCACUCUGGCCGUCCGCCGGAGUGUCAUCCCCUCCAUGGUUCCCUGCGCCCUGGCCGUCCGCCAGAGCGCCGCCUCGUCCAUGGUUCCCUGCGCCCUGGCCGUCCGCCAGAGCGCCGCCUCGUCCAUGGUUCCCAUCGCCCUGGCCGUCCGCCAGAGCGCCGCCUCGUCCAUGGUUCCCAUCGCCCUGGCCGUCCGCCAGAGCACCGCCUCGUCCAUGGUUCCCUGCGCCCUGGCCGCCCG